UAAAGGAUGGUCAUUUUGGAAUUUUUCUUAGAUGCUUUCUUCAGAAGAAAAUAAUUUGGAGAAUAUUGAAGAGGAAGAGGGGAAAGGUGACUGCAGGAGCAACUGAGAGCUGGAGUCUCAUCUAAGGGAGACCUGCAUCUGUUUGUCUGCUGGAUGUAGCAGGAUGUCUGUUGAAGAUGAAGAAGAACUUCUGUACAUAAAAUUCUCCUUUCUACUGGAAGGCUAAAGAAUAAACUACAGAACCAAGAGGACUGUGAAGACUUUUGGCUGCUGUUUCCACUGGCUGUAACAGUUAACACCUCAGAAGAAAACCUGAGGAUAUAAAAUCAAAAACUUGAGUUUCUUACACGCUUCGUUGCAGCUGAAUAUUUAGGCAGUUUAGUUGGGGGGAGGAGGGAAAGGAAGCCCCAAACCAAAACUGAUUGCAAAAAGUGACAGCAAGAAGGCAGCAAGAAAAGGAGCCAGAUCUGUAAGUGUUGUAGGAGUGUGUAACUCAUUAGCACCAAUGGAUCAGUGCUCAUUUGUGCCACUUGAGAAUCAAGCCCAGUAACAUGGUGUUGUCCCUUUAGUGUAAUUUUUCUCUCACAGUUCCCAGUCUCUAGAAAAAGGAAAACUGAACUACAUUUUGAAAAUACAUGUGAAAUGCUAGAAUCUAAAGUAAUCUUUCAAUUAUUUAAAUAAAAAAGAAGCCUCUAUGCCAGAAUAUGUACAGAACCUGAGUAAUUUGCCCAAUAUGUGAACAAGUGGUUUUCAUGACUGGCUGUACUACAGCAUGAUUAUUCAAGGACAUUUUUCUUUGGGUUAGGGUGAGAAAUACCUUGACCUUUGGUUUUGAUAAUCUAUGUAUCACUUGCUCAUUUUGAUUCUCUUUAAAGUCAUCGAAAGAAGGAGAUCUUGUUUUUGGUUUUUGCUGUCUUGCUCAUCUCUUAACAGUUCCCUGUUCUUCUUUUUACACCUGUGUGUUGGUUUCUAUCCUAAUUUUUACAACACUCCUGCAAAUAUGGACUUGGUUUACUGCAGCUGAAUUUAAUCUGAAUUUGCCUGUUGAAUCAAGGCUACUAGGCAUAUGAAAUAAGGGAAAGGAGUAUUAGUUUGAUUAAUUAAAACUGUUCCCUUGACUUCUAUAGAGGUGUCUCAAUUGCCUUCAGUCAAUCUGGAGCACAGAUUACUCUGCCUAUAGUAUAAAAUGUCUUACACAAAUAUAUGAGUACUGUGAUGCUAAAAAAUUUAAAAAAAAAAUGCUACUCUACAAACUGAAUACUCAAGUGUUGGAAAACUGUUAAAAUGGAACCAUUUUUAUUUCUUUCACAUGCUACCAGUAACAUUCUGAUUAUGUUUUUUCUCUGACUUUAGAGUGGUGUCUUCCCAAGGUUUGCCUUCUGGUGCCUUUGUAAGAUCCGCCAUGGAGCAGCUGGCCCUGGUUUCUCUAAGCAAAGGAUGUGAGCAGCUG